rnacentral:ncRNA from 2 species
UGACGGACUUCUGGAGAGGCCCCUUUAGUGGGGCGCCGAAGGGGCAAGGCAUGGCUCAAUCUCUCAGGCAAAAGGACAGAAGAAAACAC